AGCCCCGCCCCGCCCCGCCCGGCCGCGCCGGCGGACAGUGGGUUAAGCAUCUCCGCCGUGGAACUUCCGGAUGUGACCACAGAGAGGGAGAGACCGGGAACGGGGAGCGCGGCCGCCAGCACCCCCGAGCCGCCGCCGGAGCCCCCGCCGCCCCGGGCUGCCCCCAGCCCCUCGCGGUCCCCGGUCUGUCCGUCUUGGGACAGUUCGAUUCCCUCCGGAGCCCGGGGAGGGACGGGGGGGCCCAGGGGAGGGGGCCUCGGGCGCCCCGCCCGCGCCUGCUGCCCCCGCCCCAGCGGCGAUGCGCUCCUGGCCGUGACCCCCGCUGGGGGCGGGGGCCGGGGUCCAUGCGCGGAGUCCCGACCCGGCCCGGCGCCUGCCGCUGACGGCGGCGGGGGUGGGGGAGCGCGCGCCCGGCCUCCUGCCCACCCCCUGGCGUCGACACUGCGGGCCGUCUGGGGCUGCGGCCCGGGGCUGCGCCCUCCCCCGCGGCCAGGCUCUGGAGGGACCCGGGAGCUGCCGCCGGCCUCAGCCCAUGGCCCGGAGGUACGAUGAGCUGCCGCACUACCCAGGCAUCGCGGAUGGCCCCGCAACCCUGGCUGGCUUCCCAGAGGCAGUGCCCGCGGCACCAGGGCCCUACGGCCCACACCGGCCUCCCCAGCUGCUGCCCCCAGGCUUGGACAGUGACGGCCUGAAGAGGGAGAAGGAUGAGAUCUAUGGACACCCGCUCUUCCCCCUCUUGGCCCUGGUCUUUGAGAAAUGUGAACUGGCUACAUGCUCUCCCCGUGAUGGGGCUGGAGCUGGGCUGCGGACACCCCCCGGCGGCGACGUCUGCUCCUCUGAUUCCUUCAACGAGGACAUCGCUGCUUUCGCCAAGCAGGUUCGCUCUGAGAGGCCCCUCUUCUCCUCCAACCCAGAACUGGACAAUCUGAUGAUCCAGGCCAUCCAAGUGCUGCGAUUCCACCUGCUGGAGCUGGAGAAGGUCCACGACCUGUGCGACAACUUCUGUCACCGCUACAUCACCUGCCUCAAGGGAAAGAUGCCCAUCGACCUAGUCAUCGAAGAUCGGGACGGCGGCUGCAGGGAGGACUUCGAGGACUACCCAGCCUCCUGCCCCAGCCUCCCAGACCAGAAUAAUAUAUGGAUUCGAGACCAUGAGGAUAGUGGGUCUGUACAUCUGGGGACCCCAGGUCCAUCCAGCGGGGGCCUGGCCUCCCAGAGUGGUGACAACUCCAGUGACCAAGGAGAUGGGCUGGACACCAGCGUGGCCUCUCCCAGUUCUGGUGGGGAAGAUGAGGACUUGGACCAGGAGCGACGGCGAAACAAGAAGAGGGGGAUCUUCCCCAAGGUGGCCACCAACAUCAUGCGAGCCUGGUUGUUCCAGCACCUCUCGCACCCGUACCCCUCGGAAGAGCAGAAGAAGCAGCUGGCGCAGGACACGGGGCUCACCAUCCUGCAAGUCAACAACUGGUUCAUUAACGCCCGGAGACGCAUCGUGCAACCGAUGAUCGAUCAAUCCAACCGCACAGGGCAGGGUGCAGCCUUCAGCCCAGAGGGCCAGCCCAUCGGCGGCUGCACUGAGACGCAGCCACACGUGGCCGUCCGGCCUCCGGGAUCAGUGGGGAUGAGUUUGAACUUGGAAGGAGAAUGGCAUUAUCUAUAGAGGCUGGAUACAGGAGAGGUAUAAGAAGACUGAGGUUCAGAGAGAAGAGGUCACUUGCACAGGUCUACUUACCCUGCUUACAAAAGCAGGGGGAACACCAUGCAAAGGCCCAGAGACCCAGCCUCUAGCUGUGACCCCCAGCCUCACACCUGGUUCUGGUUCCCGCCUGGUCCUCCAGCUUCAGGACCCCACCUCCAAAGGCCCCUCCGCUCAACGCCUACCUCCCUAGGGCCCUGCUGGGACAUGAGCGCCCACCCAAGAGGCUCUCAAGGACACCGGCAAGGCCUCCAGGCCCUGAGCCCCACUUCUGCCUUCACCUCUGCCUGGGACCUGAGCUGGGCUCCUGGGCCUUGCCAGAAGAUGGCAGCUAGGGCCUCGCCGCCGGGACAGAGAAGGGACGGGGUGGCUGGGCAGUCAGGGAAGGAGGGUCGCCCGGAUCCGACAUUUUGGAGAGAUUCCUUCACCCUCCUGUCCCCCCACCUCCCUUCUCUAAUUUCUUCUUUUUUUAAUGAUAAAGUCUUAAAAACACAGAG